rnacentral:rRNA from 1 species
GAGUUUGAUCGUGGCUCAGGAUGAACGCUGGCGGCGUGCCUAACACAUGCAAGUCGAACGGGGUUUAUUGAGGAAGAAGCUUCGGCGGAAUUCUUAUAAACUUAGUGGCGGACGGGUGAGUAACACGUGGAGAACCUGCCUCUUACCGGGGGGACAGCAGUUGGAAACGACUGAUAAUACCGCAUAAGCGCACGAGACCGCAUGGUCCUGUGUGAAAAGAUUUAUCGGUAAGAGAUGGCUCCGCGUCUGAUUAGCCAGUUGGCGGGGUAACGGCCCACCAAAGCGACGAUCCGUAGCCGGCCUGAGAGGGUGAACGGCCACAUUGGGACUGAGACACGGCCCAGACUCCUACGGGAGGCAGCAGUGGGGAUAUUGCACAAUGGAGGAAACUCU